AAAAAGACAAACUCUGGUCUAAUGUUUGACCGUCCAUUUUAUUUAAAAAAAUAAAAAGAAAAGUCACACAUAAAAUGUUAAUCAUGUUUUAUCAUCUAACAACAAUGAAAAUAUAAAUUAUAAAAAAAUUUUAUAUAAGACGGACAGUCAAAGUUGUACACGGAAACCCAUGGUUUGUUUUUCU
rnacentral:pre_miRNA from 1 species